rnacentral:tRNA from 2 species
GGAAGCGUGGCCGAGUGGUUGAAGGCAGCGGUCUUGAAAACCGCCGAGGGUUCCGCCCUCCGUGAGUUCGAAUCUCACCGCUUCCGCCA